rnacentral:rRNA from 1 species
UACGAAGGGGGCUAGCGUUGUUCGGAAUUACUGGGCGUAAAGCGCGCGCAGGCGGUUCUGCAAGUCAGAGGUGAAAGCCCGGGGCUCAACCCCGGAAUUGCCUUUGAGACUGCAUCGCUAGAACGUCGGAGAGGUGAGUGGAAUUCCGAGUGUAGAGGUGAAAUUCGUAGAUAUUCGGAAGAACACCAGUGGCGAAGGCGACUCACUGGACGACUGUUGACGCUGAGGUGCGAAAGCGUGGGGAGCAAACAGG